ensembl:lncRNA
UUAGGGGGACCAGAUCGGACACAGACAUUUAUUCAAGGGAACCUUUUGGGAAGAUGGACACCUAUAAGCCAACAGAGCCUAGAUGGGAGGCCAGGCUCACACUCCCUAAAUUGCCUUGGCCCCCAAAAUCUGCCUCCUACACUAGACACAGGCACAGACGCGGAGUGUACAGUGCUUUCAUGGACAGAGUAGAGGAGAAGAUCUCCAGCUCUUGGAAAACUGGCUGACACUUUGACCUCUAAAGUCUUCUAUGGAGUCCACAGCUGUGCAGUGAUCUGUGCAUAGGCUCCACUAAAAUGUCCAGUGUGUUAAGCCAGAUAAUAUGUUCUAAUCUGGGUGUGUGAAAGGCAUGGCUGAAAUAUUUGCAUUCACAGAAAGGAAUCUUGCAGGCUAUAGCAUAAUAAAAAUACUUUGAGGUAUCAUGAAAAUACAAUAAUUGUAGGCUAGACUAGAGACUUCAUUGCAAACCAAUUGCCCAUGCCAUGACACUUUUUGAAAGAUGUCCUUUUUUUUCAAUUUAUCUAGGCCUAAUAGGCUAUUGUGUGUGUAUAAAUCUAUGCUCUCAAGACAAUAGGAGACAAAGAUAAUCCCAGUAACUGGAAAAUGUAAACAAAGUGUGUCAUUACAAUGCCAUUGAAACUAAUUUCUAAAAUGUCGGCCGAAAUGCAAUUAAAGUUCACAAUUGGAGAGCAGCCAAACCUUGCUUAAUCCUGAACAAAAACCUUGAGUAAUUAGUCAGAUGCUCGAUUAAAUUCUGGGUCCAUACAUGAGGGAGGGAGAAGGGAACAAACAGCUCCACCCGUUCUCUUCGCAAGUUAGGGGCAAAUCUUAUGGGCCAAAUGUUCCCUCCCCUUUCCGAAAUUCUAAAGCACCAGAACUAAUGCUGCUCAUUAUCUCACACUUCCGGUUGUAUGGUGACAAAUGAAUGUACCAUUUAUGUUAAAGUCGUCUGUCCACAAGAGAUUAGAGAGCAGCCAAACUAAUUUCGGAACCCGGAACCAAAUUAUUGCAAAUGUUUGUUCAUGUAUUUAUUUACUAUUUAAUCGCCAAUUUCGAUUGUUUGUAAACUGGUUCGACCUGGAUGGCGCGCUUUGGUCACGUCCACAUUUUAUCCAACAGUUUGAAAGUAAACAGCUAAGGACGCAUCAUGGGGCGGCGCUGUUUAGCGUAUAUCAAAACCCAAGCCAAGGCACAUGCGACACACGAACACAGCAACAACAAAAACGGUCACGGUUGUCUUCUAAUUGGAAUAUAAUCAGUGCCAAUCAUCGUUGGAAAAGUAGACCAACCCUUUUAUUCCACCUGUUGUUCCCCACAUGA